rnacentral:lncRNA from 1 species
UUUUUUUUGUGAAAAUACUGAAAUAAAAACGCGCAAAACUUUCCAGAACUAUAAAUCAUUUUGAAUCCACUGCUUGAUCCUUCAAAAUUUUAAUUUUGCUCUCUAAUAUUUCAAUUUAUUUGAUUGUAACCGAUCAACGACAACUACAGCUUGAUUUCAAAAUUUAAGCUAAUUGUUUACUUUAAUAAUUUUUUAGUUUUAAAAAUUGUAUAAAGUAUACUAGUUAAAUUUGUAAAUAUAAAUGAUAUAUUCAAAAUUUAAAGUUAAAGUAUUAUUAAUUGACUCAAAUUAAAUAUAUUUAAAAAAUUAGAUUAGUAAAAUUAAAAUUUUAAAAGAUAGGAUCGUGAAUUUAAAAUGAU